rnacentral:rRNA from 1 species
UACGGGGGGGGCAAGCGUUGUUCGGAAUUACUGGGCGUAAAGGGCUCGUAGGUGGCCAACUAAGUCAGACGUGAAAUCCCCAGGCUCAACUUGGGAACUGCGUCUGAUACUGGAUGGCUUGAAUUCGGGAGAGGGGUGCAGAAUUCCAGGUGUAGCGGUGAAAUGCGUAGAUAUCUGGAGGAAUACCGGUGGCGAAGGCGGCAUCCUGGACCGAGAUUGACACUGAUGAGCGAAAGCUAGGGGAGCAAACGGG